CAAGUAAACAUUACUUAGGCUUUUAAGAUACGGUUGGUUUAUGUUCUUAUACUUAAUCAUACACAUGACAUCUAGUCAUAUUUGACUCGUAGAAACUAACCAAGCUUCUUCUUGUUUAUCAAAGCUUUGAUGGUGUAGCUGUAGUUCGUAUGAAUCUUUGUCUUUGUAUCUUCUAACAAGGAUACAAUACUUACGCCUUUAAGAUCCAGUUGCGGUUC
rnacentral:sRNA from 1 species